rnacentral:rRNA from 1 species
AGUCGAACGCAAUCUUUUAACAAUGAGUGCUUGCACUCAGCGUUUUANGUGCGAGUGGCGAACGGGUGAGUAACACGUGGGCAAUCUGCCCAAAAGUGGGGGAUAACACUUGGAAACAGGUGCUAAUACCGCAUCAACCGGCUGACCGCAUGGUCGGCCGAGCAAAGACGGCGUCAGCUGUCGCUUUUGGAUGGACCCGCGGCGUAUUAGCUAGUUGGUGAGGUAACGGCUCACCAAGGCAAUGAUACGUAGCCGAACUGAGAGGUUGAUCGGCCACAUUGGGACUGAGACACGGCCCAAACUCCUACGGGAGGCAGCAGUAGGGAAUCUUCCACAAUGGACGCAAGUCUGAUGGAGCAACGCCGCGUGAGUGAAGAAGGUUUUCGGAUCGUAAAGCUCUGUUGUUGGUGAAGAAGGAUAGAGGUAGUAACUGGCCUUUAUUUGACGGUAAUCAACCAGAAAGUCACGGCUAACUAC